GUGUCAGCUUCAGGCGUGGCUGGAUCAAGGACCAAAUGUCAGCUUCAGGGAUCUGAUGUUCUUUAUUUCACCGCUAGGAGGAAAGGGCUUCUGGUGUUUGUGCCCCGGUUUUGCCAUUUGUCUUUCUGUGGAUGAGUGUGUCUGCCUGAGUGUAGACAUAUAUUGGGUAUGACUGAGUGUCUGAGCAUCUUUAUGGGGGUGGGUUCCUGUGUGUGGGGCCUGAGUAAUUACCUUUUCGUUUUUACAUUUUAUUAUGUAUUUGUGUAUUAAUUUUUUUUUUUCUUGAGACGGAGUUUCGCUCUUGUUGCCCAGGCUGGAGUGAAAUGGUGUGAUCUUGGCUCACCGCAACUUCCGCCUCUUGGGUUCAAGUGAGUCUCCUGCCUCAGCCUCCCGAGUAGCUGGGAUUACAGGCAUGCACCACCACGACUGGCUAAUUUUGCAUUUUUAGUAGAGAUGAGGUUUCUCCAUGUUGAUCAGGUUGGUCUUGAACUCCCGACUUGAGGUGAUCCGCCCACGUCGGCCUCCCAGAGUGCUGAGAUUACAGGCGUGAGCCACCGGGCCUGGUUUAUAUUUUAUUUUUUUAACUUUCGGCUGGCAAGUGCUGAAUCC
rnacentral:lncRNA from 1 species